rnacentral:rRNA from 1 species
UACGUAGGGGGCUAGCGUUGUCCGGAUUUAUUGGGCGUAAAGAGCUCGUAGGCGGUUUGUCGCGUCUGCCGUGAAAAGUCCGGGGCUCAACUCCGGAUCUGCGGUGGGUACGGGCAGACUAGAGUGAUAUAGGGGAGACUGGAAUUCCUGGUGUAGCGGUGAAAUGCGCAGAUAUCAGGAGGAACACCGAUGGCGAAGGCGGGAUCUCUGGGCAACAACUGACGCUGAGGAGCGAAAAGCGUGGGGAGCGAACAGG